rnacentral:rRNA from 1 species
UGACAGUACUCCUACGGGGAGGCAGCAGUGGGGGAAUAUUGCACAAUGGGCGCAAGCCUGAUGCAGCCAUGCCGCGUGUGUGAAGAAGGCCUUCGGGUUGUAAAGCACUUUCAGUCGUGAGGAAGGUAGUGUAGUUAAUAGCUGCAUUAUUUGACGUUUAGCGACAGAAGAAGCACCGGCUAACUCCGUGCCAGCAGCCGCGGUAAUACGGAGGGUGCGAGCGUUAAUCGGAAUUACUGGGCGUAAAGCGCAUGCAGGUGGUUUGUUAAGUCAGAUGUGAAAGCCCGGGGCUCAACCUCGGAAUAGCAUUUGAAACUGGCAGACUAGAGUACUGUAGAGGGGGGUAGGAAUUUCAGGUGUAGCGGUGAAAUGCGUAGAGAUCUGAAGGAAUACCGGUGGCGAAGGCGGCCCCCUGGACAGAUACUGACACUCAGAUGCGAAAGCGUGGGGAGCAAACAGGAUUAGAUACCCUGGUAG